GACGAACCGUGCAAACGUUAUUCGGAAUCACGGGGCAUAAAGGGCGCGUAGGCGGCUUUCUAAGUCAGGGGUGAAAUCCGGCAGCUCAACUGUCGCAGUGCCUUUGAUACUGGAGAGCUCGAGGGAGGUAGGGGUCUGUGGAACUUCCGGUGGAGCGGUGAAAUGCGUUGAUAUCGGAAGGAACGCCGGUGGCGAAAGCGACGGACUGGAUCUCUUCUGACGCUGAGGCGCGAAAGCCAGGGGAGCAAACGGG
rnacentral:rRNA from 1 species